rnacentral:lncRNA from 12 species
AAGGAACCAACCCUCAACACCCCCUAUCUAGAUGGAAUACUCGCUGGAAGGGAAAAUGUUCAGUCAGGCCCAACACAGAUUUUACCCGGGUACCACAGCAAGGACAAGGUGGAUUUUUGUCGGGAAGAGUCACCGUCACGGUGCCCUCUGGUUUGUGAGCUCCUCACUUCAAUGUUCCUUUUCGGUGGGAAGUAGCGAUCCUUUCCUGGAUCCUUAUCAAUCGAUGUGCCAAUCUUCUGUGCUGUCCCCGGCCGAUUUUAGUUUUGAAAUCCCUGCCGCAUACCUCACAGAUCCACUGCCCAGCCGGAGCCAUUUCCGUCUCUGGACCCCUGCAUUUGGCGAAGUGACAAAUAAUACUAUUAUAGUUACUAUUUUC